rnacentral:lncRNA from 1 species
GAAAUUAUUUGACAUACUGGUAUGACUAGCAUGAUCCUGAUUCCAUUAUAGGAUGCAUGAAUGGAUCCCAUGAGUUUUCUGGUAACGAGUUAUUACAGUAACUAUUAAACUUAAAAAAAAUAUAGCAUGAUAAUUUUAGUCCAUUAAAGGUGGCAACUCGAUCCAUUUGUGUUUUUUUAUCUCAAAAGUUAGCUAAAAGAGGAAUGGGUCAAACGGUUUGAAAGUCAUCUCAAGUCCUUUUCAGAUACAUACAACCUCCUCGCGUGCAA